rnacentral:rRNA from 1 species
AGUGAACGCUGGCGGUAGGCCUAACACAUGCAAGUCGAACGGCAGCACAGUAAGAGCUUGCUCUUACGGGUGGCGAGUGGCGGACGGGUGAGGAAUACAUCGGACUCUACUUUUUCGUGGGGGAUAACGUAGGGAAACUUACGCUAAUACCGCAUACGACCUACGGUUGAAAGCAGGGGAUCUUCGGACCUUGCGCGAUUGAAUGAGCCGAUGUCGGAUUAGCUAGUUGGCGGGGUAAAGGCCCACCAAGGCGACGAUCCGUAGCUGGUCUGAGAGGAUGAUCAGCCACACUGGAACUGAGACACGGUCCAGACUCAUAAGGGAGGCAGCAGUGGGGAAUAUUGGACAAUGGGCGCAAGCCUGAUCCAGCCAUACCGCGUGGGUGAAGAAGGCCUUCGGGUUGUAAAGCCCUUUUGUUGGGAAAGAAAAGCAGCAGGUUAAUACCCCGCUGUUCUGACGGUACCCAAAGAAUAAGCACCGGCUAACUUCGUG